CGUGGGGGGCUGUGAAGAGAAACACCCGUUAGAAAGAUGAAGUGUGAGAAAAGCUGGUAGUUCAGAGUCGGUGUGUAUGCUGGGUUUAUUCUGAAGGCUCCUUCCAUAGUUUUCCUCGAAUUGCUGGGAGCAGGAAAGGUGUGUGUCUCAUGCGUGGCAUACCAAUGCCAUGCACUGAGGGUUUUCAUGAGGUGACUCUGACUGAAUGAACAAACUCCUGCCCAAGAUAAUAUCUACAGGAGCUUUGUUUGAAAGGAAGUGAUUUUGAAACAGGAAGCCAGACAUUGUAUAAAAACUGAUAGAAUGAGGACAGCAGUGGAAAAUGGAACAGACUUGGGCUUUUUUCUGUGGAUUUAUAAUAAAUGGACAUACUCUUGAUAUGGAAGCUGUGUCUAUCUGGAGUUUAAAAUGAUGUGGUAGGUCAGAAAGGAUGAGUACCAAAUGCAGGGAGGGAGUCAUUUCUGUCAGUGUGGAGUUUCUAGAAUAGUCAAGAGUUUUGCAGUAAUAUCAGAGGAAGGAUGUGCUCUCUGGUGAUAUGGAUGCAUUUCAUAUUCUGAUACUCAUUCAGGAAUUUGUACUGGAGAAACCCUUAAGGAAAGUAACUGUUCAAGUAGAGCAUAUCGGACUAGUUUUAAAAGCAAUACAGCACACUUCUGCAAAUUGAGCCCCUGAGCUGAAGAAUGUAUCUGGAGAUGGUGGAAGAUGAGUCUCCGUGUCUACAGGUUCCUUUUCUGAUGCUGCAGUCACCUCACAGCAAACUAACUGCAAUGCUGGAAGAUGCAUACAUGAAUAAAUCGUGUACUUCAGCCUUGGCAUUUUCCACUGUCUGCCAGCAGCUUUGUAUUUCACAAAAUUCUGUGCUAAAUUGCCUUCCUUCAUCAUGGAAAUCUUCCUAUUUGGGCAAGCUAUCUAAUGUCCUGAUUCCCAGUAUGUCCUUGAACUUUUAAAAAAUAAAAAAAUAAUAGCACCACUGUGCCCUUGGCCAUCUUCUUUACUAUCUCUGUCUCUCACAGGAGAAGUACAGCUGUGUGCAUGGUUUCCAUGUCAUCCAUGAAUAUUCUAGGAUUAAAGUCUUCAGCUUGGUGGAAAAAAUAUAGUGACCUUUCUGUCCUUUAUCACGUGAGCCCUUUAUCCUAAAAUAGCAGACACGCUUGAGAGUGAAGUCAUCCUUAUGUCCUGUGGCUCUUAUCUAAAUGAGAACUCUUUUCUCAGCAUCACAUUUAUCUACAGAUAAAUAUUUCGUAAUACUGUGUUUUGAUACUGAUUUUCUUGUAUGCAAAUGAAAACGGAAGGACAGACACAAAAAGUAGAGGUAACUAUUUGUCUUUCCUUUAGAAAAAUAAUCUCUAAAGCUGCAUGUUAUUUAUGGGAGGGCUGGGGACAGGCCUCUGGAAAUCAUUUUGAAUUCCGCAAUAUGAAAGCAUUUCAGAAACAGAAGUAUGUGUGCAACAUGGAAAGGCAUCAGGUCAGUUGAUAUUACAGACCAUGUUCUCUUUAAAAUUAAAUAAUUUUAUCUCCCUGAUGGAGAGAGAUCAUUGUUACCAUAGGGUUUAUAUAACAGAUAACAAAAUAAUUGAUGCUUAUUAGAACUCGUGACACGAAAUAACUAGAACUCAAAAUUACUAUAAAAUGAUAUUUUCUUUUGUUCCUGAGUUUUCAGUCUUUGUGAAAGUCUAAUACUCUGUGCAGUACAACUGACAGUAAUAAGGGCUGAGUUGUGGAAAACUCCUUUUUGUGUGUAGUAUGCUCUUCUCUAUUGAAAGGAGAAUUACAAGGCAAUCGUGUAAAAUUCCACUGAGUUCAAAGAAAGUCUUGGAUUGAAGUAGCAAGCACUCAAAUCUUCAAAAUGUCCUGACUCAACAGGAUUUCUUGUGGUUAGACAGUUAAGCUCUCGAGAGGCAUCUCUGCAAAUCUGGCAGUAGCACAGCAGUAUGCACAGGGCAAUGGGACUUUUAAAUCUAUUUUUUAAAGAUCUCACUUGACUUAUAAUA